AGUGAACGCUGGCGGUAGGCCUAACACAUGCAAGUCGAACGGCAGCACAGUAAGAGCUUGCUCUUACGGGUGGCGAGUGGCGGACGGGUGAGGAAUACAUCGGAAUCUACUUUUUCGUGGGGGAUAACGUAGGGAAACUUACGCUAAUACCGCAUACUACCUACGGGUGAAAUCAGGGGUGAUUCGUACCUUGCGCGAUUGUAUGAGCCGAUGUCGGAUUAGCUAGUUGGCGGGGUAAAGGCCCACCAAGGCGACGAUCCGUAGCUGGUCUGAGAGGAUGAUCAGCCACACUGGAACUGAGACACGGUCCAGACUCCUACGGGAGGCAGCAGUGGGGAAUAUUGGACAAUGGGCGCAAGCCUGAUCCAGCCAUACCGCGUGGGUGAAGAAGGCCUUCGGGUUGUAAAGCCCUUUUGUUGGGAAAGAAAAGCAGCAGGUUAAUACCCCGCUGUUCUGACGGUACCCAAAGAAUAAGCACCGGCUAACUUCGUG
rnacentral:rRNA from 1 species